CAAUAAGCGGAGGAAAAGAAACCAACAGGGAUUGCCCUAGUAACGGCGAGUGAAGCGGCAACAGCUCAAAUUUGAAAUCUGGCUUCGGCCCGAGUUGUAAUUUGUAGAGGAAGCUUUAGGCGCGGCACCUUCUGAGUCCCCUGGAACGGGGCGCCAUAGAGGGUGAGAGCCCCGUAUAGUUGGAUGCCUAGCCUGUGUAAAGCUCCUUCGACGAGUCGAGUAGUUUGGGAAUGCUGCUCAAAAUGGGAGGUAAAUUUCUUCUAAAGCUAAAUACCGGCCAGAGACCGAUAGCGCACAAGUAGAGUGAUCGAAAGAUGAAAAGCACUUUGAAAAGAGGGUUAAAUAGCACGUGAAAUUGUUGAAAGGGAAGCGCUUGUGACCAGACUUGCGCCGGGCGGAUCAUCCGGUGUUCUCACCGGUGCACUCCGCCCGGCUCAGGCCAGCAUCGGUUCUCGCGGGGGGAUAAAGGUCCUGGGAACGUAGCUCCUCCGGGAGUGUUAUAGCCCAGGGCGUAAUGCCCUCGCGGGGACCGAGGUUCGCGCAUCUGCAAGGAUGCUGGCGUAAUGGUCAUCAGCGACCCGUCUUGAAACACGGACCAAGGAGUCAAGGUUUUGCGCGAGUGUUUGGGUGUAAAACCCGCACGCGUAAUGAAAGUGAACGUAGGUGAGAGCUUCGGCGCAUCAUCGACCGAUCCUGAUGUAUUCGGAUGGAUUUGAGUAAGAGCGUUAAGCCUUGGACCCGAAAGAUGGUGAACUAUGCUUGGAUAGGGUGAAGCCAGAGGAAACUCUGGUGGAGGCUCGCAGCGGUUCUGACGUGCAAAUCGAUCGUCAAAUCUGAGCAUGGGGGCGAAAGACUAAUCGAACC
rnacentral:rRNA from 2 species